CCUACGGGAGGCAGCAGUGAGGAAUAUUGGUCAAUGGGCGCUAGCCUGAACCAGCCAAGUAGCGUGAAGGAUGACUGCCCUAUGGGUUGUAAACUUCUUUUAUAUGGGAAUAACGUGCAGUAUGUAUACCGCUUUGCAUGUAACUUAUGAAUAAGGAUCGGCUAACUUCGUGCCAGCAGCCGCGGUAAAACGGAGGAUCCGAGCGUUAUCCGGAUUUUUUGGGUUUAAAGGGAGGGUAGGCGGGUUGUUAAGUCAGUUGGUAAAGUUUGCGGCUCAACCGUAAAAUUGCAGUUGAUACUGGCAUCCUUGAGUACAGUAGAGGUAGGCGGAAUUCGUGGUGUAGCGGUGAAAUGCUUAGAUAUCACGAAGAACUCCGAUUGCGAAGGCAGCCUGCUGGACUGUAACUGACGCUGAUGCUCGAAAGUGUGGGUAUCAAACAGGAUUAGAUACCCGUGUAGUC
rnacentral:rRNA from 1 species